AUUGAACGCUGGCGGAAUGCUUUACACAUGCAAGUCGAACGGCAGCACGGACUUCGGUCUGGUGGCGAGUGGCGAACGGGUGAGUAAUGUAUCGGAACGUGCCCAAUCGUGGGGGAUAACGUAGUGAAAAUUACGCUAAUACCGCAUACGAGCUAUGGAUGAAAGCGGGGGAUCGCAAGACCUCGCGCGAUUGGAGCGGCCGAUAUCAGAUUAGGUAGUUGGUGGGGUAAAGGCCCACAAAGCCAACGAUCUGUAGCUGGUCUGAGAGGACGACCAGCCACACUGGAACUGAGACACGGUCCAGACUCCUACGGGAGGCAGCAGUGGGGAAUUUUGGACAAUGGGCGAAAGCCUGAUCCAGCCAUUCCGCGUGCAGGAUGAAGGCCCUCGGGUUGUAAACUGCUUUUGUACAGAACGAAAAGGUUUCUACUAAUACUAGGAGCUCAUGACGGUACUGUAAGAAUAAGCACCGGCUAACUACGUGCCAGCCGCCGCCGUAA
rnacentral:rRNA from 1 species